UACGGAGGGGGCUAGCGUUGUUCGGAAUUACUGGGCGUAAAGCGCACGUAGGCGGCUUUGUAAGUUAGAGGUGAAAGCCCGGGGCUCAACUCCGGAAUUGCCUUUAAGACUGCAUCGCUAGAAUUGUGGAGAGGUAAGUGGAAUUCCGAGUGUAGAGGUGAAAUUCGUAGAUAUUCGGAAGAACACCAGUGGCGAAGGCGACUUACUGGACACAUAUUGACGCUGAGGUGCGAAAGCGUGGGAGCAAACAGG
rnacentral:rRNA from 1 species